UUAAUAAUCAAAUUCAUCAAUCAAUUAAAUUAUUUGCGACUACAUAAAUGACAAAAUUGAUUAAUUUUGAUCACUGAUUUGCCGAUUAUUUUAGUCGAAAUAAAUUUUAAUUGAUUUAAUUGAAUUUUAAUCGACUGGUUCCAACGGACGCGUGUGCUGUACCGGAGGAUCCGGUUCAGGCAAGGCAGACUCGGUUUGAAGAUGUGGAGAGAAACGUGACCGGCCUUGACUGCGAGUCGUUUCGUUAUACACGAAGACGAAUUUCGUACGACUUUCAAAACAAAAACAUACGUAUAAAUAGAUUCCGUAUUCGAGAUCAUAACAGUCUUCGACGUGCCGGCGAACACAUCGGACGUGACGUCGCAUUGUAUUCCGCGUUUAUCGGCGCGCGUGUCGGACGAAUUACGAUACUUGACGCAAGCGCGAUCGUAGUGCUGAGAUCAUCGUGAGCUGUGGGAACGUCUUUAUAUUUAAAAGUUCUGAGACAAAUCUUGCGGCAGUAUAUCGUGGAGGCAGCUGUAAUCUCGACGGACGCGAAUGCCGUACCGGAGGACCCGGUUCGGGCCGAGCAGGGUCGGCUUGAAGAUUCGGAGCGAAACGUGGCCGACCCUGACUGCAAGUCGUUUUGAUAUGUAAUCUCUGAAGUCGUCGUCCGAGCAUGCGAAGGGUUGCGUUCUUACAACGAGAACGGAAGAAUUAUACUACAUUCAACCUAUCUUCGAUCGCUGGCUCGUGCUCUUUCAUCGCUGCUCUUUCUUGGUCAAAGCUCGAGUCGAGGGAAUUAAGCCAUGCGUACGGCGUACACUGAGAAAAAAAUAUUUGGUAUUUGUAGCUAUAACCACAUAGAAAAACAAUUAUUACAACUCUUAUACUCAAGAAAACUAAUUGUUUAUUAAAUUCUAGUAUAAUGUUAGUGAUGAUAACUUUGCAUAUUAUUAUUAUUGCAUGUUACUACUACUUUACUACAAAAAAUGGUUGCGCUCCCAAUAAAAACUAUAGUUUUGGUUAGAUCAAUCAUUUUUUUCUUAGUAUAAGUAAGUAGGUAUCAAAAGUUUAUUCCCUAAACCCGGUUACAUAUAAAAACGCAUGAUCUGUACUAUGCAUAAGUUAAUUAUAUUUUGCAUUAAUGAAGUCAAUGAUCGUCGUUUCAUAUAAAAUAACAGAAGAAAUAGAAAUAUAAAAUAUUUCGCCUGAGAUAUGUUAUUUUUAUUUAAGUAGAUUAUAUAUGAAAAGUAAAACUGGUGUUUACAUCCGCUAAAUAAAAAUUUGUAGAACAUGUGAAUUCUCAUGACACAAUAAAGUGGCCUUUGAACUCUUUUACUUAUA